GACGAACGCUGGCGGCGUGCUUAACACAUGCAAGUCGAACGAGGUCCAUGGAGUAGCAAUACUCCGGAAGACCUAGUGGCGAACGGGUGCGUAACACGUGAGGAACUUACCCCGGUCUCUGGGAUAACAGUUGGAAACGACUGCUAAUACCGGAUGACGUCGGAGCGUCGCAUGGCGCGCUGACGAAAGGGUUACUGGAUCGGGAGAGCCUCGCGGCCUAUCAGCUUGGUGGUGGGGUAACGGCCUACCAAGGCAUCGACGGGUAGCUGGUCUGAGAGGAUGAUCAGCCACACUGGGACUGGGACACGGCCCAGACUCCUGCGGAGGCAGCAGUGGGGAAUUUUGCGAAAUGGGCGAAAGCCUGACGCAGCAACGCCGCGUGCGGGAAGAAGGCUCUCGGGUUGUAAACCGCUUUCAGCAGGAACGAAAAUGACGGUACCUGCAGAAGAAGGUGCGGCCAACUACGUGCCAGCCGCCGCCGUAA
rnacentral:rRNA from 1 species